GACGAACGCUGGCGGCGUGCUUAACACAUGCAAGUCGAACGGAAAGGCCCUGCUUUUGUGGGGUGCUCGAGUGGCGAACGGGUGAGUAACACGUGAGUAACCUGCCCUUGACUUUGGGAUAACUUCAGGAAACUGGGGCUAAUACCGGAUAGGAGCUCCUGCUGCAUGGUGGGGGUUGGAAAGUUUCGGCGGUUGGGGAUGGACUCGCGGCUUAUCAGCUUGUUGGUGGGGUAGUGGCUUACCAAGGCUUUGACGGGUAGCCGGCCUGAGAGGGUGACCGGCCACAUUGGGACUGAGAUACGGCCCAGACUCCUACGGGAGGCAGCAGUGGGGAAUAUUGCACAAUGGGCGGAAGCCUGAUGCAGCAACGCCGCGUGCGGGAUGACGGCCUUCGGGUUGUAAACCGCUUUCGCCUGUGACGAAGCGUGAGUGACGGUAAUGGGUAAAGAAGCACCGGCUAACUACGUGCCAGCAGCCGCGGUGAUACGUAGGGUGCGAGCGUUGUCCGGAUUUAUUGGGCGUAAAGGGCUCGUAGGUGGUUGAUCGCGUCGGAAGUGUAAUCUUGGGGCUUAACUUCCGGGUUGGCAGGUGAUACGGGCAUGACUUGAGUACUGUAGGGGAGACUGGAAUUCCUGGUGUAGCGGUGAAAUGCGCAGAUAUCAGGAGGAACACCGGUGGCAAAGGCGGGUCUCUGGGCAGUAACUGACGCUGAGGAGCGAAAGCAUGGGUAGCGAACAGGAUUAGAUACCCUGGUAGUCCAUGCCGUAAACGGUGGGCGCUAGGUGUGGGUUUCCUUCCACGGGAUCCGUGCCGUAGCUAACGCAUUAAGCGCCCCGCCUGGGGAGUACGGCCGCAAGGCUAAAACUCAAAGGAAUUGACGGGGGCCCGCACAAGCGGCGGAGCAUGUGGAUUAAUUCGAUGCAACGCGAAGAACCUUACCUGGGCUUGACAUGCACUGGAUGCGGCCAGAGAUGGUUGUUCCCUUUGUGGCUGGUGUGCAGGUGGUGCAUGGUUGUCGUCAGCUCGUGUCGUGAGAUGUUGGGUUAAGUCCCGCAACGAGCGCAACCCUUGUCUCGUGUUGCCAGCAUUUGGUUGGGGACUCGCGGGAGACUGCCGGGGUUAACUCGGAGGAAGGUGGGGAUGACGUCAAAUCAUCAUGCCCCUUAUGUCCAGGGCUUCACACAUGCUACAAUGGCUGGUACAGAGAGUUGCGAUACCGUGAGGUGGGGCUAAUCUCGUAAAGCCAGUCUCAGUUCGGAUUGGAGUCUGCAACUCGACUCCAUGAAGUCGGAGUCGCUAGUAAUCGCAGAUCAGCAAUGCUGCGGUGAAUACGUUCCCGGGCCU
rnacentral:rRNA from 1 species